rnacentral:rRNA from 1 species
CCCUUAGAUGUUCUGGGCCGCACGCGCGCUACACUGAUGCAUGCAACGAGUUCUAUCCUUGGCCGGAAGGCCUGGGUAAUCUGUGAACGUGCAUCGUGAUAGGGAUAGAUUAUUGCAAUUAUUAAUCUUGAACGAGGAAUUCCUAGUAAACGCAAGUCGUCAGCUUGCAUUGAUUACGUCCCUGCCCUUUGUACACACCGCCCGUCGCACCUACCGAUCGAAGGUAAUGAUGAGCCCUCAGGAUUGUGGCCUCGUCGCGUCAGCGUCUUGGCUGCGAGAAUCUGUGCAAAUCCCUACCUUUAGAGGAAGGUGAAGUCGUAACA